rnacentral:lncRNA from 1 species
CUUCAGUGUGCUGUGAGGGUCCACCAGGCUGGGAGCAGCCCUGUCUGGGAGGACUGUCUUCUAGGUGCAGGUGGCUGGGUCUGUGCCAUCUGACUGUCUGGCCACUGAGCAUGUGACAUGUGUUUUGGGCAUACUGGGGUUUAAAUACCCUUCUUGAUCAGAGGAGAUAUUGCAUUUAGAAUUUUAUUUAAAAAUAAAUGCAAUUUUAUUUACAAAUAGGACUAUGGAGGAAUUGAAUUGUAAACUUCAUUUAAUUUCAGUCUCAACAGUUACCACAGAAACUGGAGCCAGACGGACCUGGCUCCUGGUCCUGCUCUGCCCCUUACCGACUGCGUGGCUUUGGGCCACUUCACUGUGGGUCAUCUCAUCCCUUGCUCCCUCGUUCAUACGACAGACAGAUUCUUCCUAGGUCACAGAGCUGGUGUGAAGAUGAGAAGAGAGAAGUGUUUGGCAUGGUGCCGAGGACAUGGGACAUCGGAGCUGUCAUUUCCACCAUCAUGAUUAAUCACAAAUGUGAUCACGUCAAUCCUCGUUCAAAGGCCUUCAGAAGCUUUUCACUCCAAAUGUCAAGCUCCAAAAUGAGAUUUUGGAAGCCAAAGACUCAAGAAGCCCAGAGAAUUCCAAAUAAGGCAAAUAAAACAUGAAUCCACACCUAGAAAAACUACACAAAACUGCUCUAAGUCGAAGGAAAAGAAAUCUUAAAAACAUCCCAAGAUUACCAAAGGCAUGAGUUUCAGGUUUAUAAAAGCUCACUUCUCUAUGGGGACAAUGGGAGCCAGGAGACAGGAGAAUGACGCACCUGAAGAGAGCAACUGCCACAUAGACUCAAAUCUCAGUCAAAAUACCUCCCAAGGUUAGAGGGUAAAAUAGGUGUUUUCUCUUUCUGUCUCUCUCACACACACACAAACACACACACAAACACAAACACACACACAUGCACUUGCAGAUGCCUAAGAGAAUUUGUCACCAGCAGAGCCAUACUGAAGGAAAACACUACAAGACACUCUUUAAGCAGAAGAAAAACUGUCCCACAUGAGCCACCUGAGAGUAGAGAAGGCACAGCUAAUGCACAGAUUUGAACAUGGACUCUACAGAAAUACUGACAAUGUCUUUUGGGGUUUCAAAUGUAGAGGGAAGUUGAUAGUGGAUAUGAAUCUGCAUGGUGUCACUGUCUAAGGCCAUUAUGUCAUCAAGGAGGCAGAUUCGUCAGGGAAUACUGGGUUUGGCAAGUUGAAAGUGAACGCUGUGAUUCUUAGCAUAACCUCUAGAAGAACAGUAAAGGAAGAAAACAUUCAGUAAAUAUCCAGAUUUUGCUGGGGUAUCUUUUUUUUUAAUAUUUAUUUUUUAGUUUUUGGCGGACACAACAUCUUUGUUUGUAUGUGGUGCUGAGGAUCGAACCCGGGCCGCACGCAUGCCAGGCGAGCGCACUACCGCUUGAGCCACAUCCCCAGCCCUGGGGUAUCUUACUAUUAAUAAAAGAAGAGGGAAGGGGUGAAAAAUUUCUAAGCCCAUGUAGGGGGAAAAAAUGAAAUAAUAAAACCCUAUCAGCUCACAGGAGGCAAGAGUGGAGAGAAAAACAUCAUAGCGUAAGUGGUACAACUGGCACUGAGUAAGACAAUAAGUUUAAAUGCAGUAUACCACGCAAUUACAUUAUACAUAAAUGCACUCACAGACAAAGCUUGCCAAACUGGGUAAAAAAAAAAACUAUAUGCUUUUAACAAGAGAUAUAUCUAAAUUUUAAGAAUGAUCGAUUGAAAAAGUGAAAAGAAAUAUUUAUGAAACUCUAACAAAAAGAAAUCCAGUGUAGCUGAUGGAGCUAUAUUAAUGACAAAGUGAACUUUAAUGGAAAAACACUACUAGAGAGAGAUAAAGAGAGUCAUCUCAUGAUGAUCAAAAGGUUCAUCAAACAGAAAGUAUUAAAAUGACAAAUCCAUAUGCACCUAGUAAUACAGACUCAAAAUAUACAAAGCAAAAAUUGACAGCAUUAAAAAAAGAAAUAGACAAAUCCACAAUAAUGAUGUGAUUUAAAAAUAUGCCAUCUCUCAAUGACUAACAGACCUAUAGAUGACAAGAUCAAUAAGAGAAUUUCAGUUUUGAAUAUCAUUGGUAACCUUGAUUUAAUAAACAUAUAGAAUAUAGAAUACUGUAUCCAAAGAAUGCAGAAUGCACAUUUUUUUUUCAAGGGCAUAUGUGGAACCAAUAUUGACCACAUGAAGGUUAUAAAGCCAGUCUUAAUAUGGAAGGUUUGAACUCACAGAGGAUAUUCUCUGACCACCAUAAUUAAGCUAGAAAUC